GGGGGAUUAGCUCAGUUGGUAGAGCGGCAGGUUCGCAAUCUGUAGGUCGGGGGUUCGAAUCCCCCAUCCUCCA
rnacentral:tRNA from 1 species